GCUGAGCAAUUGCAGCUCGUCCCUCCUAUAUGGACACGCCUCCCAGGCGCUCUGUUACUAGAAGGGCCCCGGCACUCCAGGGAAAGGCGGCUCUGCGGGUGGAGGUUCCCCCUCAAAGACUCAAAAUAUCUGAUCCAGUGGUUAAAAGCUGUUCAGAGGGGUAAUUGCACCCCCACUAAGUAUUCUUGCCUCUGUAGUGAACAUUUCACCGGAAACAGCUUCUCCAAAAGGCUCAGGGUCAGUCCUGCAUGCUGAAACCACAGCCCUGCCCUUCGUCUUUAACCUGACUGGGAAGAUGGGGCCUGGAAGCCAUGGCCACCCCAAGAGAAAGGACACCAGGAAGGCCACAGGGGGCCCGAGGGAACAUGCGAGUGAAGCAGAAAAGAAAUGAGCUGCAGGUUCACUGUCGUCCUUGAGUGAAAACCUGAGGGCUGGCCGAGCCCAAGUCCUGCAGGUUGAGGGAGCCGCUCUGCAGGGGGAAACCGCACCCGGGGCUGCCUAGGAAGCCACCCGUCAGGUGUGGGUGUGCAGGCUCUGGAAGGAACUCCAGGAGACGGUGUGGCCGCCACAGUGUCAGGCAGCCGGGCAGAAGCAAACACGUCUGCUGUAGAUGCUGGCGAUGAGACCCACUUCCCCCGCUGGGGGCCUGCUAGGUAGAAGUGGCAUUUCCGUGGGGGACUUUACCCCCAGGAUUGGGGCGUGCAGAUUUAUUGGGUCAUUUCAUUCUCAGAGGUUCUCCACUAAGCACACUCGAGAGGGGCCAUCUGUUCACUGAGAGCCUGUCUAGCAAAGGACCUGCAGGGAGACGUGAAGCCCGGCUGCAGCAGGACCAGCCUGGACUCAACAAGGGCUUGGUCUGGAGCCCCCAAGUUCUCGUUCACGGCGAUGCCUCAGAAGCUGUCCCAGAGCCCCUCCGCCCCUCCAGCAGGUGUCACCCCAAAGCCAGCGGUGGAAGCUGUGAGAGUGAGCACAGUGACACCAGCCACAUGUCCCUCAACAGGGUCAUCCCGUCAGCAUCAGGGGCCCGAGGACUCCUCGACCUGCUGCUUCGCCUCCCGGCAGAACAAGAGCAGGGGUGCUGCCUGCAGGAGCAGGUAGAGAAGAACGGCGAGCUGGAGACCCUGCAGCAGAGGGGCAGCCAUCCCGACAGCCAGGCACACACGCUGCAGAAGCUGGAUGAGCUGAGGAGAGUGGGCUUCCCCUCCCUGAGCAGCCUGCUGGCCCCCAACCCAGUGGGUGUCUUUCAGCUUUCAGGAACAACCAUUUCAGCCUCUCUUCCUGUAAGUGCUCAAAGGGGACCAGUUCCUGUGUCCUACAUCCCAGCUCCUCACCUUGCGCUCCCCAGCUCAAGACGGUCUGAUCUUAGUUCUGUCUUCUUACUUUCCCCAUCAGGCAACUAUGAUUAG
rnacentral:lncRNA from 1 species